ACACAAAGUUUUUACUUGAAUGCUUAGUUAAAGGGUUAAGUCUUCGAAAGUUAAAAGCUUUCCAAGUGUCUUCGUAAUAUAAAUAAAUCCUGCGAUGGCCGUAGGCCUAUAGACAUUUCAUACAAUAGGAACAGAUUAACAGAACUUACUAUAAUUUAGCUAGUUUUAGCUGUCAAAGUGUAGCUUGUCUGACAAUAGAAGUUGGUUGAGUUUACAGCGUUUAACCAAUUCCAAUUACAGAAAUCAACUGUAAAUGAGAGACAAGACUGAAGAGAAUACUUAACAUUAAUGCUCACAGAUUCGCCGGGUUAGGUUAUUUUGCCAUGUACCAUAAAAUCAAUUAUUGAAAUUUGGAAAGCAUGACAAAUUAAAUUUGCCGAAGGUUGUUAUCUGACAAGACAAAAUGCACAAAAGCCUUUAAUCUAGCAGUGAAUUUCCUUCUUGACCCAGGACGAAAUUUUUUCAUAUUCAUAAAACGAUGGCCAAACCCAAUUUAACUGCUCUGUUGAAGAAAUACUGGUUUUUAUUUGGUUUAUUAUUUUGUAUUAUUUUGGCAGAUAUAUUUCCAUCCUUGGGUGCAACUGGAGGGCCUUUGAAGCCUGAAUGGACUGUGAAGUAUGGGGCAGUUGCUUUAAUAUUUUUUAUCAGUGGCAUGACUCUCAGUUUCAAUGAUUUCUUUUAUGCCGCUACCAAAGUGAGGGUACAUCUCUUUGUGCUCACGUUUACUUUUGUAUUUAUACCGACAAUAGUACUAUUCAUUAAUGCUAUUCUUAGAGGAUUAUUUGGUAUCAAUGAGUGGAUUUUAAAGGGACUGGCUACAGUCAGCUGUAUGCCCCCUCCAGUAUCCUCAGCUGUUAUUCUGACGAAAGCAGUUGGCGGCAGUGAAGCAGCAGCCAUAUUCAAUUCGGUUGUUGGAAGCUUCUUGGGUAUAUUUAUCACACCUACAAUUCUGUUGUUUCUUUUGGGAUCUACAGCAGUGGUGUCUCUGCUCAACUCAGUCCUGGUGUUGUACCAGACUGUACUGUUGCCGCUGUGCCUGGGACAGCUGUCUCGCCGCUACAAGCUCAUCACCGCUUUCGUACCUCGGUUACCUCUCUCCACAAUCGGGGAGCUGGCCCUCCUCUUCAUUAUCUUCACCACUUUCUGCGAUGCGUUGAAGACCCACGAUAUCGGCAUGAAUGCAUCUGACAUAUUAAUUACAGUUGCUUUAGUGUUACUCCUGCAGAUCUCUCUGCUCUACAUCAGUUUCCAUGUGGCAGAGUUGUUCUACAGCCCUGCCGAUGUCAUCACCGUCACAUUCUGUGCCACACACAUACAUUACUGCCCUAUGUUUCAGUGUUACUCCUGCAGAUCUCUCUGCUCUACAUCAGUUUCCAUGUGGCAGAGUUGUUCUACAGCCCUGCCGAUGUCAUCACCGUCACAUUCUGUGCCACACACAAGUCUCUCACACUUGGUGUGCCGAUACUGCGGAUACUGUUUGCCGGCUACGCUCAUUUCUCCCAGAUCACGCUGCCACUUCUGGUGUACCACCCCACACAGAUAAUUCUGGGUGGCCUCCUGGUUCCCAUUUUCAAGAGAUGGCUUAACAGGCACGGGGAACUGCUACCAUAAGUUCAAGCACAAGCAACAAGCAACAUUCUGUGAUUUUAGUAUUAUUACCAAGACUUGUAAAAUAUAACAUGUAUUUAUUUUAAAUUAAAACUUGUGUUUCUAAAA